UCGAUUUCAGCGGCAACAUUCAGAUGGUAGGGUCAGAAUUUGGCAUAAACAACAUGAAAGCAUGGGCGUGCCUAGGCGGCGGCCAUGGAUGGUCGCAAUAUUUGUGGCUCCUAAUGUGAUCUGCUCAAUCUACUGAUUAUCGCAGCUAUUCUGCAAAAUCUAUAACCAUCAGUCUCAUACCGCAAAAGUUUGAGUCAUACAUCAAAGAACUGUACUAAAAUUUGCAGAGUCUAUGAACAUUAGACCCAGAUCUGGGCAGUUGAAAUCUCGGGCGGCAGCCUCUCUGCAGGGAUUCAACCCCCCCCCGUAAAUCAGGGUAAACAGACUCACGUAUAUUACUGAAGUGAAUAUAACUUUAUGUUAAAAUAAUUGAGCCUAGUACAGUUAUCCAAUGGAGAAGAUAUGUAACCUUUUGAAUGAGCACUUCUCGCAACUUGAGAGACAGCUGGCCGCCACAUGGUUAUGCAAUGGAGAACCUGAGAUACAGAGAGAGACCGUGGAAAUUCCUAAGGCUGAAGCUAACUUAACAGAUGUGGGACAGCCCAUAUAUUAUACACCCUCUAAGCAAUGCCGUAGUUUGCCAUUAAUAAACAAGCAUCACAAGGAGAGAGUUUCUGAAGAUCAUCAAUCUCUGUAUAAUAGAUUGGAGCUAAGCGAGACCUCAUCAUGUUUUGCGCUAGUAUGGCCUACUAAUGCUGUCAAUCAAACUCACAAAGCAGCGGUCGACAUCUCUACACAUGAGGUAAACCCUCAUGUUAUAUCAGAACGGCUAUAAAGAGUAUGCAGCCACUUCUCAUUUGAACACGAUGCUGCCGAGAGUCGCGAUGAUGAGACCGUAAACGAAGGACAGUGAUAAAACAAAUUAUGAAAAUGGUCCUAGGAGCACGAGCAUCUUCUUCCUCACCUUUUCUACAAAAGCCCUCAUGGUAAUAGCAGUGCCCCCCUUUCACCACUUGUACCUAGUAGUGCCCCCUUCUGUAUCCUCACCACCCCCUCUGGGAAUCGCUGGUAUAACUGAAGCUAUUCUUUACCACCUAGGACUUCUUCAUUCGGCAACGACAAGUGGAAAACUUACCGUUAAACACAAUUAUCUGGAAAGUAGGGCUGUCAGCUUCAUGGGAAAAAAUAUAGGACAUGCAAACUGACAUAAAUUAGCAUUAAUAAUUAUACACAUUAACAGUAUAGUUUAGAAGUUAAAGCUGAUGUUAUAUUUCUUUAUAAUUUGAUUCAACCAUGUUAAAAAGAAGCUUUUUUUUAUUGUCUACAGUGACCUGACCCUUCUGGCCAUGCAGAUAAAAUAGUGUGUGGCGGACCUAGAGGAGAGCUUUUAUACCCUCGUCUUUUUCCUGAAUACACGUUUAUUAAUUACAUGUUUAUAAUGUCACUGUCCAUCAUAUCCUCUAUACAUCAGGCUGCGGCUGCUUAUUGUUGGCUUUUUCUUUUUUUCCCAUCAUAACCUUCUGUUGUUAUUGCACAAAGUGUUAAAAUAAAAAGUAGAUAAACACAAUAAUUCAAACAUUUCCUGGUGUUGGUGUGUUUGGAUAACCUAAAUGUUCUCUUUGAUUAAAGUUUUGCCAUUUAAUUAAA